UCCUGUUGAUCCUGCAGGAGAUUUCUGCUAUUGGGAUUCGGCUUAGCCAUGCAAGUCUGUCCGCAAGGACGGCAGAAUGCUCAGUAACACGUCGUUAACCUACCCUUAGGUUCGGCAUAGCCUCGGAAAACUGAGGGUAAUACCGAAUACGAGAUAUUUUCUGGAAGGAUUUAUCUUCUAAAGAUUGCGCCUAAAGAUGGGACGGCGGCCGAUUAGGUUGUUGGUGGUGUAAUGGACCACCAAGCCUGGGAUCGGUAGGGGCCUUGAGAGAGGUUGCCCCGAGAAGGGUACUGAGACACUGACCCUAGCCCUACGGGGUGCAGCAGGCGCGAAUUCUUUACAAUGCACGAAAGUGUGAUAAGGGGAUCCCAAGUGCUUUUGCAUUGCAAAGGCUUUUAUUAAGGGUAAAAACCUUAAUGAAUAAGCGGUGGGUAAGACUGGUGCCAGCCGCCGCGGUAACACCAGCGCCGCUAGUGGAAAUCGUUUUUAUUGGGUCUAAAGCGUCCGUAGCCGGUUUUGUAAAUCCUUUGUGAAAUUGUCGGGCUUAACUCGACAAAGUGCAGGGGACACUGCAAAACUAGGGACCGGGAGGAGCUAGAAGUAUUCUGGGGGGAGCGGUAAAACGCAUUAAUCCUCAGAAGACUACCUGUGGCGAAGGCGUCUAGCUAGAACGGAUCUGACGGUGAGGAACGAAGGCCAGGGGAGCAAACCGAUUAGAUACCCGAGUAGUCCUGGCAGUAAACGCUGUGAGCUAGGUGUUGCAUAUUCUCCGUGAAUGUGCAGUAUCGUAAUGAAGAUGUUAAGCUCACCACCUGGGGAGUACGGUCGCAAGACUGAAACUUAAAGGAAUUGGCGGGGGAGCACUACAAGGGGUGCGGCGUGCGGUUUAAUCUAAUUCAACACAGAGAAUCUCACCAGGGGCGACGGCAGGAUGAAGGUCAGUCUAAAGGGCUUACCCGACGAGCCGAGAGGUAGUGCAUGGCCGCCGCCAGCUCGUGCCGUAAGGUGUCCGGUUAAGUCAGGCAACGAGCGAGACCUGCAUCUGCAGUUGCUAACAACUCCAUCAGGAGGAUUGAACACACUGCAGGGACUGCCCUGGAAACAGGGAGGAAGGUGCAGGCAACGGUAGGUCUGUAUGCUCCGAAUCCACUGGGCUACACGCGCGCAACAAUGGUAGGGACAGCGGGAUGCGACUCCGAAAGGCGAAGCUAAACCUCUAAACCCUAUCUUAGUUCAGAUUGAGGAUCGUAACUCAUCCUCAUGACGAUGGAAUCCCUAGUAAUCGUGUUUUAUCAGAAGACGGUGAAUAUGUCCCUGCUCCUUGCACACACCGCCCGUCAAACCAUCCGAGCAGGGUCUAGGUGAGGCUUGAUUUAAUUGAUCAAGUCAAAUCUAGGCUCAGUGAGGGGGGUUAAGUCGUCACAAGGUA
rnacentral:rRNA from 1 species